GGUUAAGCGACUAAGCGUACACGGUGGAUGCCCGGCAGUCAGAGGCGAUGAAGGACGUGCUAAUCUGCGAAAAGCGUCGGUAAGGUGAUAUGAACCGUUAUAACCGGCGAUGUCCGAAUGGGGAAACCCAGUGCAAUUCGUUGCACUAUCGUUAACUGAAUACAUAGGUUAACGAGGCGAACCGGGGGAACUGAAACAUCUAAGUACCCCGAGGAAAAGAAAUCAACCGAGAUUCCCCCAGUAGCGGCGAGCGAACGGGGAGCAGCCCAGAGUCUGAAUCAGCUUGUGUGUUAGUGGAACGGUCUGGAAAGUCCGACGGUACAGGGUGAUAGUCCCGUACACCAAAAUGCACAGGUUGUGAACUCGAAGAGUAGGGCGGGACACGUGGUAUCCUGUCUGAAUAUGGGGGACCAUCCUCCAAGGCUAAAUACUCCUGACUGACCGAUAGUGAACCAGUACCGUGAGGGAAAGGCGAAAAGAACCCCGGCGAGGGGAGUGAAAAAGAACCUGAAACCGUGUACGUACAAGCAGUGGGAGCACCUUCGGGUGUGACUGCGUACCUUUUGUAUAAUGGGUCAGCGACUUAUAUUCUGUAGCAAGGUUAACCGUAUAGGGGAGCCGCAGGGAAACCGAGUCUUAACUGGGCGUUAAGUUGCAGGGUAUAGACCCGAAACCCGGUGAUCUAGCCAUGGGCAGGUUGAAGGUUGGGUAACACUAACUGGAGGACCGAACCGACUAAUGUUGAAAAAUUAGCGGAUGACUUGUGGCUGGGGGUGAAAGGCCAAUCAAACCGGGAGAUAGCUGGUUCUCCCCGAAAGCUAUUUAGGUAGCGCCUCGUGAACUCAUCUUCGGGGGUAGAGCACUGUUUCGGCUAGGGGGUCAUCCCGACUUACCAACCCGAUGCAAACUACGAAUACCGAAGAAUGUUAUCACGGGAGACACACGGCGGGUGCUAACGUCCGUCGUGAAGAGGGAAACAACCCAGACCGCCAGCUAAGGUCCCAAAGUCAUGGUUAAGUGGGAAACGAUGUGGGAAGGCACAGACAGCCAGGAUGUUGGCUUAGAAGCAGCCAUCAUUUAAAGAAAGCGUAAUAGCUCACUGGUCGAGUCGGCCUGCGCGGAAGAUGUAACGGGGCUAAACCAUGCACCGAAGCUGCGGCAGCGACACUAUGUGUUGUUGGGUAGGGGAGCGUUCUGUAAGCCUGCGAAGGUGACCUGUGAGGGUUGCUGGAGGUAUCAGAAGUGCGAAUGCUGACAUAAGUAACGAUAAAGCGGGUGAAAAGCCCGCUCGCCGGAAGACCAAGGGUUCCUGUCCAACGUUAAUCGGGGCAGGGUGAGUCGACCCCUAAGGCGAGGCCGAAAGGCGUAGUCGAUGGGAAACAGGUUAAUAUUCCUGUACUUGGUGUUACUGCGAAGGGGGACGGAGAAGGCUAUGUUAGCCGGGCGACGGUUGUCCCGGUUUAAGCAUGUAGGCUGGUUGUCCAGGCAAAUCCGGAUAAUCAAGGCUGAGGUGUGAUGACGAGGCACUACGGUGCUGAAGUAACAAAUGCCCUGCUUCCAGGAAAAGCCUCUAAGCAUCAGGUAACAUUAAAUCGUACCCCAAACCGACACAGGUGGUCAGGUAGAGAAUACCAAGGCGCUUGAGAGAACUCGGGUGAAGGAACUAGGCAAAAUGGUGCCGUAACUUCGGGAGAAGGCACGCUGGUGUGUAGGUGAAGCCCCUGCGGGUGGAGCUGAGACCAGUCGAAGAUACCAGCUGGCUGCAACUGUUUAUUAAAAACACAGCACUGUGCAAACACGAAAGUGGACGUAUACGGUGUGACGCCUGCCCGGUGCCGGAAGGUUAAUUGAUGGGGUUAUCCGUAAGGAGAAGCUCUUGAUCGAAGCCCCGGUAAACGGCGGCCGUAACUAUAACGGUCCUAAGGUAGCGAAAUUCCUUGUCGGGUAAGUUCCGACCUGCACGAAUGGCGUAAUGAUGGCCAGGCUGUCUCCACCCGAGACUCAGUGAAAUUGAACUCGCUGUGAAGAUGCAGUGUACCCGCGGCAAGACGGAAAGACCCCGUGAACCUUUACUAUAGCUUGACACUGAACAUUGAGCCUUGAUGUGUAGGAUAGGUGGGAGGCUUUGAAGCGUGGACGCCAGUCUGCGUGGAGCCAACCUUGAAAUACCACCCUUUAAUGUUUGAUGUUCUAACGUUGGCCCCUUACCGGGGUUGCGGACAGUGUCUGGUGGGUAGUUUGACUGGGGCGGUCUCCUCCUAAAGCGUAACGGAGGAGCACGAAGGUUAGCUAAUCCUGGUCGGACAUCAGGAGGUUAGUGCAAUGGCAUAAGCUAGCUUGACUGCGAGCGUGACGGCGCGAGCAGGUGCGAAAGCAGGUCAUAGUGAUCCGGUGGUUCUGAAUGGAAGGGCCAUCGCUCAACGGAUAAAAGGUACUCCGGGGAUAACAGGCUGAUACCGCCCAAGAGUUCAUAUCGACGGCGGUGUUUGGCACCUCGAUGUCGGCUCAUCACAUCCUGGGGCUGAAGUAGGUCCCAAGGGUAUGGCUGUUCGCCAUUUAAAGUGGUACGCGAGCUGGGUUUAGAACGUCGUGAGACAGUUCGGUCCCUAUCUGCCGUGGGCGCUGGAGAAUUGAGGGGGCUGCUCCUAGUACGAGAGGACCGGAGUGGACGCAUCACUGGUGUUCGGGUUGUCAUGCCAAUGGCACUGCCCGGUAGCUAAAUGCGGAAGAGAUAAGUGCUGAAAGCAUCUAAGCACGAAACUUGCCCCGAGAUGAGUUCUCCCUGAGACUUUAAGUCUCCUGAAGGAACGUUGAAGACGACGACGUUGAUAGGCCGGGUGUGUAAGCGCAGCGAUGCGUUGAGCUAACCGGUACUAAUGAACCGUGAGGCUUAACCUU
rnacentral:rRNA from 1 species